AGUGAACGCUGGCGGUAGGCCUAACACAUGCAAGUCGAACGGCAGCACAGUAAGAGCUUGCUCUUACGGGUGGCGAGUGGCGGACGGGUGAGGAAUACAUCGGAAUCUACUUUUUCGUGGGGGAUAACGUAGGGAAACUUACGCUAAUACCGCAUACGACCUACGGGUGAAAGCAGGGGAUCUUCGGACCUUGCGCGAUUGAAUGAGCCGAUGUCGGAUUAGCUAGUGGGCGGGGUAAAGGCCCACCAAGGCGACGAUCCGUAGCUGGUCUGAGAGGAUGAUCAGCCACACUGGAACUGAGACACGGUCCAGACUCCUACGGGAGGCAGCAGUGGGGAAUAUUGGACAAUGGGCGCAAGCCUGAUCCAGCCAUGCCGCGUGGGUGAAGAAGGCCUUCGGGUUGUAAAGCCCUUUUGUUGGGAAAGAAAAGCAGCAGGUUAAUACCCCGCUGUUCUGACGGUACCCAAAGAAUAAGCACCGGCUAACUUCGUG
rnacentral:rRNA from 1 species